CUAAUCCUACGGGAGGCAGCAGUGGGGAAUAUUGCACAAUGGGGGAAACCCUGAUGCAGCGAUGCCGCGUGGAGGAAGAAGGUUUUCGGAUUGUAAACUCCUUUUAUCAGGGACGAUAAUGACGGUACCUGAAGAAAAAGCUCCGGCUAACUACGUGCCAGCAGCCGCGGUAAUACGUAGGGAGCGAGCGUUAUCCGGAAUUACUGGGUGUAAAGGGAGCGUAGGCGGGACGGCAAGUCAGAUGUGAAAACUGAGGGCUCAACCUUCAGACUGCAUUUGAAACUGCUGUUCUUGAGGGAAGUAGA
rnacentral:rRNA from 1 species